rnacentral:tRNA from 1 species
GAAUCAGAAAUCAAGAAAAAGCUUCUAACUUUAUUCUUAAGCAGUGAAACUCUGUUUAUGAUUCU